rnacentral:rRNA from 1 species
UACGUAGGGUGCAAGCGUUAAUCGGAAUUACUAAGCGUAAAGCGUGCGCAAACGGUUUUGUAAGCCAAAUGUGAAAGCCCCAAGCUCAACCUGGAAACUGCAUUUGGAACUACAAAACUAGAGUGUGUCAGAGGGGGGUGGAAUUCCGCGUGUAGCAGUGAAAUGCGUAGAGAUGCGGAGGAACACCGAUGGCGAAGGCAGCCCCCUGGGAUAACACUGACGCUCAUGCACGAAAGCGUGGGGAGCAAACAGG